rnacentral:misc_RNA from 1 species
GAUGAAGAACGCAGUGAAAUGCGAUAAGUAAUGUGAAUUGCAGAAUUCAGUGAAUCAUCGAAUCUUUGAACGCACAUUGCGCCCGCUAGUAUUCUGGCGGGCAUGCCUGUUCGAGCGUCAUUUGUACCCUCAAGCUUUGCUUGGUGUUGGGCGUCUUGUCUCUAGCUUUGCUGGAGACUCGCCUUAAAGUAAUUGGCAGCCGGCCUACUGGUUUCGGAGCGCAGCACAAGUCGCACUCUCUAUCAGCAAAGGUCUAGCAUCCAUUAAGCCUUUUUUUCAACUUUUGACCUCGGAUCAGGUAGGGAUACCCGCUGAACUUAAGCAUAUCAAUAAGCGGGGA